rnacentral:lncRNA from 1 species
UGAAAUGUCCAAACAAAUAUGACCCUUUUGAUUGGAACCCUGUCCCUGUUUGUUUUUAUUACACAUGUAACAUAGUUAGUGAGUUAGUAUACCAAAGAUAUUGGGGCUUAAGAAGAACAUAAAGGGUUCGAGUGGUAACAAUGGUCAAGAUGGACAAAUCUGUUUAAUCCGCUCUAUGUUUAGGGUGGACAGAAAAUUUGUCUACCAACACUAUUUAUAUGUAAAAGAGGUUCGUAGUUGGUCCGCAUCAGUUUUCUUUCUAUUUUUUGGACCGCACUAUUGCAGACUACAUUUGAUGAAUGGUAAAU